AGACCCGAAACCCGGUGAUCUAGCCAUGGGCAGGUUGAAGGUUGGGUAACACUAACUGGAGGACCGAACCGACUAAUGUUGAAAAAUUAGCGGAUGACCUGUGGCUGGGGGUGAAAGGCCAAUCAAACCGGGAGAUAGCUGGUUCUCCCCGAAAGCUAUUUAGGUAGCGCCUCGUGAAUUCAUCUCCGGGGGUAGAGCACUGUUUCGGCUAGGGGGCCAUCCCGGCUUACCAACCCGAUGCAAACUGCGAAUACCGGAGAAUGUUAUCACGGGAGACACACGGCGGGUGCUAACGUCCGUCGUGAAGAGGGAAACAACCCAGACCGCCAGCUAAGGUCCCAAAGUCAUGGUUAAGUGGGAAACGAUGUGGGAAGGCCCAGACAGCCAGGAUGUUGGCUUAGAAGCAGCCAUCAUUUAAAGAAAGCGUAAUAGCUCACUGGUCGAGUCGGCCUGCGCGGAAGAUGUAACGGGGCUAAACCAUGCACCGAAGCUGCGGCAGCGAACGUAUCACCCAAGACAACUUUACGGAGUUGACGAUUGACGGAGCGAAGCGACGUCAAAGCGUUCAUUAAAGUCGAGUUGGCUUAGGGAUACGUUCGUUGGGUAGGGGAGCGUUCUGUAAGCCUGUGAAGGUG
rnacentral:rRNA from 2 species